CAUAAUAGAGGUUUAAGUCCUCUCACUUCC
rnacentral:tRNA from 1 species